CCUACGGGUGACAGCAGUGAGGAAUAUUGGUCAAUGGACGAGAGUCUGAACCAGCCAAGUAGCGUGAAGGAUGACGGCCCUAUGGGUUGUAAACUUCUUUUAUAUGGGAAUAAAAUGUUCCACGUGUGGGAUUUUGUAUGUACCAUAUGAAUAAGAACAGGCUAACUCCGUGCCAGCAGCCGCGGUAAUACGGUGGGUCCGGGCGUUAUCCGGAUUUAUUGGGUUUAGAGGGAGCGUAGGUGGAUUGUUAAGUCAGUUGUGAAAGUUUGUGGCUCAACCGUAGAAUUGCAGUUGAAACUGGCCGUCUUGAGUGCAGUAGAGGUGGGCGGAAUUCGUGGUGUAGCGGUGAAAUGCUUAGAUAUCACGAAGAACUCCGAUUGCGAAGGCAGCUCACUGGAC
rnacentral:rRNA from 1 species